UCGGGCAAGACUGGUAGUAAAAAAAAAACAGCAGUUUCUUUAUCUAUUCCAAUUUUAGUAUAUGUAUCGCCGAAUUAAUUACAGUUCGAUAUUCGAUAAACUUAAAUAUCACUGUCACGAAGCGUCAGUUGAUAGCUACGGGCGCUAUUUUUCAGGGGAAAGUGCAUCUAAUCCAUUCACAAGCUAAACAGCGACUAAUUUCACGAGCGCUGUGACGCUCGUGGCACUUUUAGUUGCGAUGCGCACGAGCGCAAUGGCGCUCGUCGGCACUCAAAGGGUUAAAUGUCUGGUUUCUUGUUAUAUUUUCCAAAAUAUAGAUUAUCUUAGGCUACAGGACCAUGUAACUGGUGUAAUUAAUUUAUUUUAAUAAUAUGAAGACUCAAAUUGACAUUAUCUUUAUUAGUAAAGUAUAAAAUUAAUAUUGUAAA